rnacentral:rRNA from 1 species
GAUGAACGCUGGCGGCGUGCUUAACACAUGCAAGUCGAACGGGAAACUUUUCAUUGAAGCUUCGGCAGAUUUGGUCUGUUUCUAGUGGCGGACGGGUGAGUAACGCGUGGGUAACCUGCCUUAUACAGGGGGAUAACAACCAGAAAUGGUUGCUAAUACCGCAUAAGCGCACAGGACCGCAUGGUCCGGUGUGAAAAACUCCGGUGGUAUAAGAUGGACCCGCGUUGGAUUAGCUAGUUGGCAGGGCAACGGCCUACCAAGGCGACGAUCCAUAGCCGGCCUGAGAGGGUGAACGGCCACAUUGGGACUGAGACACGGCCCAGACUCCUACGGGAGGCAGCAGUGGGGAAUAUUGCACAAUGGGGGAAACCCUGAUGCAGCGACGCCGCGUGAAGGAAGAAGUAUCUCGGUAUGUAAACUUCUAUCAGCAGGGAAGAUAGUGACGGUACCUGACUAAGAAGCCCCGGCUAACUACGUGCCAGCAGCCGCGGUAAUACGUAGGGGGCAAGCGUUAUCCGGAUUUACUGGGUGUAAAGGGAGCGUAGACGGACUGGCAAGUCUGAUGUGAAAGGCGGGGGCUCAACCCCUGGACUGCAUUGGAAACUGUUAGUCUUGAGUGCCGGAGAGGUAAGCGGAAUUCCUAGUGUAGCGGUGAAAUGCGUAGAUAUUAGGAGGAACACCAGUGGCGAAGGCGGCUUACUGGACGGUAACUGACGUUGAGG